rnacentral:rRNA from 1 species
AGCUCCAAUAGCGUAUCUUAAAGUUGCUGCAGUUAAAAAGCUCGUAGUUGGAUCUCGGGAUCGAGCUGGCAGUCCGCCGCGAGGCGAGCUACUGCCUGUCCCAGCCCCUGCCUCUCGGCGCUCCCCUGAUGCUCUUAACUGAGUGUCUCGUGGGGUCCGAAGCGUUUACUUUGAAAAAAUUAGAGUGUUUAAAGCAGGCCUGGUCGCCUGAAUACUGCAGCUAGGAAUAAUGGAAUAGGACUCCGGUUCUAUUUUGUGGGUUUUCUCUGAACUGGGGCCAUGAUUAAGAGGGACGGCCGGGGGCAUCCGUAUUGUGCCGCUAGAGGUGAAAUUCUUGGACCGGCGCAAGACGCACCAAAGCGAAAGCAUUUGCCAAGAAUGUUUUCA